GUGUUGUGCUGGGCAAUUGGACACAGAGAACAAAACCCAAUUUCUGCCCUUAAAGAGUUCUAGUUGGGAAGUAGAUUUAUAAAUAAUACUUACAUCACAAAACGGUUCUGAUGAUGUUCAGAUAGGCAAAACUCCAUCAGCCCGAGUCCCUGUGAAGAAAGGGUAGAAGAGAAGCUUCCCAUGCCUGGUGUAUAAAUACGGCCUUGAAAAUGUCCACAGACGUAUUGUUGUCUUGUUGAGUCUGCAGCCAGGAAGGCAGAAAUCACUGCAGCAGAGCAGGUGUGAACGUCCCCCUACUUCAGAGGCAGCUCUCUUUGAAGCUGGAAAAUCAAGGACGCUGGUACCUUCAAGGAAACAAGGAUAUAAUUAUCACAACCCCCAACUGGCCAGUGACCUUCCAUUCCUCAGGCCACCUUACUCCCUUCGCUGGCACCAGCCCAGGUCCUCACAGACUCAGCUCUGUGUCUCAGACCGCUCAGACCCAGCAGCAACCCCCUCACGCACACUUUGAAAGCAUUUGUAAUCUCUUUCUCCUGCACUGGGCUAGCGGACAUAAAUCGCCAGCCCCGGAGCGGGGGGAGGGCCUCUGAACCCCCCAUGGAGGGAGGCCCAUUCAGGCCAAGUGGAGUUUGAAACAGCUUAGGAGUAGGAUUUAUGCCUCCCCUCACCUGUGCCGUCUGUCUGUGGCCCCUACCCCGGUCUGGUUUUGAAGGUUUGAACACGACCUCCCAGCUUUUUGCCAAGCCUGCCACCGUCACCUCAGUCACAGGGACAGCCAUCUCAAGGCCCUUGGAAGCUAAUAACAGGGACUCUCAACUUCUUUGUUAUAUUUGAAAUGUUGAAAGCAGAAGCCUAAUAAAAUGA